rnacentral:rRNA from 1 species
CCAAUAGCGUAUAUUAAAGUUGUUGCAGUUAAAAAGCUCGUAGUUGAAUUUCGGGAUUGACACAUCGGUCGUGCCUUAAGGGGUAUGAACUGGUGUAGUCAAUUUCUCACCUUCUGGAGAACCGCGAUGUCCUUAAUUGGGUGCCGCGAGGAACCAGGACCUUUACUUUGAAAAAAUUAGAGUGUUUAAAGCAGGCAUUUUGCUUGAAUACAUUAGCAUG